rnacentral:rRNA from 1 species
GACGAACGCUGGCGGCGUGCUUAACACAUGCAAGUCGAACGGAAAGGCCCUGCUUUUGUGGGGUGCUCGAGUGGCGAACGGGUGAGUAACACGUGAGUAACCUGCCCUUGACUUUGGGAUAACUUCAGGAAACUGGGGCUAAUACCGGAUAGGAGCUCCUGCUGCAUGGUGGGGGUUGGAAAGUUUCGGCGGUUGGGGAUGGACUCGCGGCUUAUCAGCUUGUUGGUGGGGUAGUGGCUUACCAAGGCUUUGACGGGUAGCCGGCCUGAGAGGGUGACCGGCCACAUUGGGACUGAGAUACGGCCCAGACUCCUACGGGAGGCAGCAGUGGGGAAUAUUGCACAAUGGGCGGAAGCCUGAUGCAGCAACGCCGCGUGCGGGAUGACGGCCUUCGGGUUGUAAACCGCUUUCAGCAGGGACGAAGCUUUUUGUGACGGUACCUGCAGAAGAAGCACCGGCUAACUACGU